rnacentral:rRNA from 1 species
GACGAACGCUAGCGGCAGGCCUAACACAUGCAAGUCGAGGGGUAGAACACUUCGGUGUUUGAGACCGGCGCACGGGUGCGUAACGCGUAUGCAAUCUACCUUGUACAGGGGAAUAGCCCAGAGAAAUUUGGAUUAAUGCCCCAUAGUAUAUAACCUUCGCAUGUUGGUUAUAUUAAAGUUCCAACGGUACAAGAUGAGCAUGCGUCCCAUUAGUUAGUUGGUAAGGUAACGGCUUACCAAGACGAUGAUGGGUAGGGGUCCUGAGAGGGAGAUCCCCCACACUGGUACUGAGACACGGACCAGACUCCUACGGGAGGCAGCAGUGAGGAAUAUUGGUCAAUGGGCGCAAGCCUGAACCAGCCAUGCCGCGUGCAGGAAGACGGUCCUAUGGAUUGUAAACUGCUUUUAUACAGGAAGAAACAACUCUACGUGUAGAGUCUUGACGGUACUGUAGGAAUAAGGAUCGGCUAACUCCGUGCCAGCCGCCGCUGUAAAAC